AUUUGUUUGUGCAUUUUGUCCAAUUCUUUGUUCAAGACGCCAAGAACAUAGACACUCUUCACUGUUAACAUAUUUUGGCGAGCUAGCCAGGAGGAAGAGAUAAGCCCAAAGUCUGGGAUUUAUUCUUCUCCUUUCUCCUUUUCCUUUCUGCUCCAAACAGGCGAAUCUCUUUCUCUCUCUUUUCCUUUCCAACCUGGGACCCUUGGUGGGCAGCACCUAAACAUGGAAGCAACUGCAGGUUUCUGGCCAUGGUCAGUGAAACUAAGGGGUUUCCACAGGCAAAGCCCAACCACCACUGCCCAAUUUGCUUAAGGAAUCUGGGUCUUUUUCAUUUUUUUACUCUUCUUUUUUUUUUUUUUUUUCCGUCUUUCAAUGGCUGUUUCCUAGUAGCUCCUUGGAAACUGAGGACAAUUGGCUGAGGUCACUCCCCAGUGUUGCCUGAAGGCCUAGGAACAAAUGGGAAUAAUUGCCCUACCCAGAAGGGGAAAGGACUUUUUAAAAAUCUUUUCCACACCUGGUCCCUGAUUCCUAUGUGUGGUGCAGUUUGGAGCAAACUACCUGUUUCAGGUGACUCAAACUUUCUUUUCUUAUGCUAAAUUCUUCACUUCCCCUAUUCAACUGGCUAAGGGCAAAGGAAACCCACCAAGCCUCCAGUUCCUGUCAUUAAAGUUUAUGGAAUGGGAUAAGUUAUGGAAUGGGAUUUGAUAAGCGUGGCCUUAUCAAAUUAUAAGGAUGCUAAAAGUCGAGUUUUACACCCAGGAAACAGCUCACAGUAGGCUCUGGAGGGAAUGCAUGCAAAGUGGCACCGGUGCCCACCUAAGGCCAAGAGACAUCUGGAACUCUUAAGAUUGAACCCCACAGGAGGACACUCGGAGGGGAUCAUCCGGAACUCAAACUUUCCAAAGAAGAUGCUCUCUGCAGAGAGACCAUCGAGCUUCAGAUGAUCACUCAACAAAGGCUCCAGCAAGUUCCAGGUGAAGACACCACCCCUGGCCAUCAAGGAGCUACCCUGCCUCCACUAGACACAGCAGGAUGGAGUUUUGCUCUUGUUGCUCCAGCUGGAGUGCAAUGGCGCCAUCUUGGCUUACUGCAACUUCUGCCUCUCAGGUUCAAGUGAUUCUCUUGCCUGAGCCUCCCAAGUAGCUGGGAUUACAGGCAUGCACCACCACGCCUGGAUACUUUUUGUAUUUUUAGUAGAGACAUGUAUUUUUGUAUUUUAGUUUCACCAUGUUGAUCAGGCUGGAUGGUCUCGAACUCCUGACCUCGGGUGAUCCACCUGCCUCGGCCUCCCAAAGUGUUGGGAUUACAGGUGUGAGCCACCAUGCCUGGCCUUUCCUUGCUUUGUUUGUGCCUUUUGUACAAUUCUUUCUUCAAGACGCCAAGAACCUGGACACCCUCUACUGUUAACAGGAGUGUUUCACAAAACUAAAGAAUUAUUUUGUGUUUACGUUAAAUUUAAUGUGUGUGGUAGAAACGAAAACUAGAGAUUUAAAAGGAAAGGGUAUAAUGGCAAGAAUGAAAUCCUUGAGUAACCAGAUGCAAUGGGAUAUAAGGAACAAUUUAAAGUGUGAACUUAGGAAGCAGAAAAGUUUUACCUUUGAAAAAAAGAGGAAAAAUCAACUAUAUAGAGAUCUAUCAAAAUGGAGAUAGCUUUUUUAUGAACAAUCGGGUUGCUUUUGUUUUCUUAGAGAAGUAAGAAGUAAGUUAAUUGACUAAGAGUUAAAUACUGAGCAGGGGUAGGGGUUUUUUAAAAAUAUUACACCUUUAUCAGAGUGAGAAAGUAAACCUACCAGGAUAAUAGUUAUAGUUUAGAAAGCCUACUUAAAAGCUAUGGCUUUAAAAUUUCAGUCACCAUCGUUGUGUGUUUUUUACAAAAGCAUUCAUCAAGGUUGGUGUAGGCCUUGUUGCUGUAUUCUACAGUUUACACUGAAAUUUUAGUUUAGGCUGGGUGAGGUGGCUCAUGUCUGUAAUCCCAGCACUUUGGGAGGCCGAGGUGGGUGGAUCACAAGGUCAGGAGUUCGAGACCAUCCGGGCGAACAUGGUGAAACCCCAUCUCUAGUAAAAUUACAAAAAUUAGCUGGGCGUGGUGGCAGGCACCUGUAAUCCCAGCUACUCGGGAGGCUGAGGCAGGAGAAUCACUUCAAACCGGAGGGCGGGGGGUGCAGUGAGCCGAGAUUGUGCCACUGCACUCCAGCCUGGGUGAAAGAGUGAAAAUCCAUCUCAAAAAAAAAAAUAGUUUAAAUAGAGUUGUUUCUAUAAGUAAAAAAGGCCACUGAAGUAAGAAUACUUUCAAUUAAUUGAAUGGCUAUAGUAAUAGACUACAAAAUCAAGCAGUUUAAAGAUAGAAGAGAGGACAUAGGUAAUGGUAGAUAAUGACUGAAAGUCGCCAGAAGUUUGAAAAAAAAUUGACAUGGGAGAAAGAUUAAAAGAUAGCUUGAAAGUUAAGUGGUGUUAUUAACAGAGUGAGAUACUUAAAUUAUGAAUUUCAGAGGUGGUAUACCUAUAUUUUGUUGUCAUUAAAUAGCAAAUCACCAAAUGAAGAGUAAGAGGCUGAGGUUAAGAGAAGGAAAAGGUCUUUAGAAAUGAGGAAGUAAAAAGAACACAGACACCAGGUGUUUGCUAUAUCGUCUCCAUCGAUAUUGAAGUCAUAAUGAAUGACUUCAACCUAAUUGGACAUUUUAAGUGAGAAGAGAGGAAUACAGUAUGUAAGUGGGUAAUGAAAAGGGGGAGGAGACACAGAGAGCAAGCAGCACAUCUUUGGGUUAUGUGGCACAUAAUGUGGAGGAGAAAAAUAGAAGUAUCACCUUCAGAAGCUGGCACCCAGUGUCUUCACUUGGCAGCCUGAAUUCAGUUUUAUUAAGAACAAAAAGAACUUUGAAGAAUGAAUAUAGGAGAUAUUAUAGCUAGUAUAUUAUGACUUCCUGAAGGCAUACUGUAUCUUUUUUGGAUAUAUGUAUCUCCCAGAUACAUAAAUGAUAGACUCUGGUAAGACAAUAAACAAAAAUGUAUAGUUAUAUGAGAUUAGAUCAUGAUGAAUGACCUAGAAGGUUUAUAAUUCUAAUGGUAAGAUAUAAAAAAGCAUGUGCAAAAUAUGAUGGUCUGAAUGGUCUCUUAGAUGAAUUAGUUUAGUUUACUCUUUUAGCAUGUUUUUAAAUAAAUCGUUAGUGCUAAGGCAGGGGCAAGAGCAGACACUUAAGCAUGUGGGUGGAUGCAGGAAGACAGGAAGCCAGUAACUGAGGGUGAAGAAGAGAACAAGUGUGGUAUAAACAAGGCCAGGAGCCCAUAUCAUCCAAAGUAGUAAUGACGCCAAAAUAAUACUGACUUGAUGAUUUCUUGCCAAGUUAUUUUCCUAAAGUUGUCCAUCUUAUGCAUAGAAUUUAAUUCCAACAUUGAAAAUGAACUGUUUUCCCAUAUACAGAUGGGCUCCUUAAUGCACCAUCAUUCUCUAUGCCUUGCCUCCACGUUUUUACCAAUAUAUGAGGACAGAGUGGCCUUUGUUGGGGAUACUAAUGAAGAAGUAACUCAUAUAAUUCAAUUUCCACGUUCUUCUAAGCCCUUUUACUAAAGUGCCAGUGAACUGCUGUUCUAGAUAAUCUACAUCACAUUCAUUGUCAUCUUGCUAUCUUGCCUAGUGGCAAAAUUGUUUUAAAAGUACAAACGUAUUGAGAUAUGUACUGUUAAUAAUUAAUGCUAUGACAUAUACAAUAAUUACUAUGCAAAUCAAAAGUUUCUCACUUAUUAGAUAGGUUUUUAAUUAAUGUUUUUCUAAAAAUUUUAACUCUUUUACAAAACAAAUACAGUUAUCUCUUAGCAUUCACCAGGAAUUUGAACCAAUACCCACCAUGGAUGUCAGCGUCUGUGGAUCCUCGUCUCUUAAGUCAGCCCCCUGCAUCUGCAGGUUCCACAUCUGCAAAUUCAAGCAAAUGCUGAUCAGAAGUAUGUAUUUAGUCCACGGUUGGUUGAAUCCAUGGAUGCAGCACCCAUAGAUACAGAGGGCUAAUGGAAAUGAUGAAAUAGUGUUAUUUUAAUGGCAUACCAUUUAAAGGAAACAUAAUAUUUAGUUUGUGAUUGCAUUAGUCAGGGUGCUCUAGAGGGACAGAACUAAUAGGUUAGAUUAAUAUAGGAAGAAGAGUUUAUUAAGGAGUAUUGGCUCAUAUGAUCACAAGCUGAAGUCCCACAGUAGGCCAUCUGCAAACUGAGGAGCAAGGAAGCCAGUCUGAGUCCCAAAACCUCAAAAGUAGGGAAGCCGACAGUACAGUCUUAAGUCUGGCUGAAGGCUGGAGAUCCCCUGGCAAAUCAAUGGUGUAAAUCCAAGAGUCCAAGAGCUGAAGAACUUAGAGUCUGAUGUUCCAGUGUAGGAAGCAUCCAUCACUGGAGAAAGAUGUUGGUCAGAAGACUCAGCAAGUCUGCUUUAUUCUAGCUGUGCUGCCAGUUACUAGAUGGUGCCCACCCAGAUUGAGGGUAGGUCUGCCUCUCCCAGUUCACUGAUUCAAAUGUUAAUCUCUUUUGGCAGUACCCUCACAGACACACCCAUGAACAAUACUUGACAUCCUUCAGUCCAAUCAAGUUGACACUUAAUAUUAACCAUCACAAUAAUUACAACUAUCUUCAAAAUCAUCAAUUUAUAUUUGAGUAAAAAUAUUGGAUCAUGGGCCGGGCACGGUGGCUGAUUCCUGUAAUCCCAGCACUUUGGGAGGUCAAGGUGGGUGGAUCACCUGAGGUCAGGCGUUCGAGACAAGCCUGGCCAACAUGGUGAAACCCUGUCUCUACUAAAAAUACAAAAAUUAGCCUGGUGUGGUGUAAUCCCAGCUACUCAGGAGGCUGAGGCAGGAGAAUUGCUUGAAACCAGGAGGCGGAGGUUGCAGUGAGCCGAGAUCAUGCCACUGCACUCCAGCCUGGGUGACAGAGCAAGACUCUGUCUCAAAAAAAAAAAAAAGGAUCAUUUAGGGUUUUUUGUUGUCAGUAGUUUAUAAUUUGAGUUAAUAGCAUUUACUUAAUGAGUGGGACUGUUACUUUUAUGUGUCAACUUGACUAGCCCAAGUGAUGUCUGUUUAGUUGGUAUUCCUGGGUGUGCCUGUGAAACCAGCCCAAUUGUCUCAUAGAACUAGUGAUUAUGGUUUCUUUUGAACAAACACAGAAAUUGACCCUCCCAGACUUAAAACUUAAAGUUACAUUUGUCUUAUCUGAGUUCCUUUUUCAGGAAACCAAUCAUCAGGUCUACCAGAUAAUAUCAGGGAACUGGAAGUCCCCAUUUUAAUUGGUCAGGGAGAUGGAUUUGAGACUGAUCUCCCAUUCUCCUCAGCUGUGGCACCCGAAUAAAGGCUUCUUACCUGGCAAUAUUCUUCAUCUCAAUGAUGGUGAAGUGAGCAUCAGAACCUAGACUGAAUCCCUGGUGUAUUUAUAAGAUCUGUGAAAAUAUUUUUAGAAGAGAUUAGCAUUUGAAUUGGAAGAAUGAGUAAAUAAGAUCACCCUCACCAAUGUGCAUGGGCACCAUUCAAUCCUUUGAUGGCCUAAACAGAAUAAAAAGACAGAGGGUGAAUUUCUAUUCUUUCAUCCUUUUAUGCCUUUGGCCAGGUCAUUGGCACUUCUGGUUAAUGGAUCUUCAGACUCAGACUUAGACCAAAACCAUCAGCCCCUUCACUCUCAGGCCCUCGGACUUGGAAUGAGACUUAACACUAUUGGCUCCUAUAGUUCUCCAACCUUCAGGCUUGGACUGGAACUAUACCUCUUGGCUUUCCUAGUCCUACAGCUUGCAGAUAGCAGAUUAUGGUAAUCCUCAGUCUCCAUAAUCCCGUGAGCCAAACCCUCAGAAUAAAUGUUUUUCUGUACAUCUAUAUAUAUCCUAUUGGUUCUAUUUCUCUGUAGAACUCUGACUUAAUACUUCAGUGAUUUAAUAUAACUAUGAGAAUACUUUAACAAAUUUAAAUUAUUUACAUCUUGAUUAAUGAACACAGGUUUUUUUUCUUGUUAUUGUUUUACUUUGCGAAAAUCAAAAUGGAGUCACUUCUGCUAAAAACAAAACAAAACAAAGCUAGGCAUGGUGGCUUACACCUGUAAUCACAGAUCUUUGGGAGGCUGAGGCUGGAGGAUUGCUUGAAGCCAGGACUUCGAGACCAGUGUGGGCAACAAAGUGAGACCUCAUCUCUAAUAAAAAUUUUCAAAAAGUUAGCCUGGCAUGGUGGCACAUGCUUGUAGUCCCAGCUACUUGGUAGGCUGAGAUAGGAGGAUCACUUGAGCCUAGGAGUUGGAGGCUGCAGUGAGCUUGGUCAUACCUAUGUAUAGCCACAGACUUUAGCCUGGGUAACAGAGUAAGACCCUGUCUCAAAAGAAAACAAAAACAAAAAAACCCCAACCAAAUAAGCAAACAAAACCUUGAAAAAUGAAAAUGAACCCCAGGAAGGCCACAAAUGGAAGGUUCUCAGACACAAAUGUCUGCAGCAAAAACUAUCAUGAAAAAAAAAAGUCACAAAAAAUUCUGGAAAAACCACAACCUUGCACAAAGGCCAUGUCAACCUUACACCAAAAAAUAAUUUGUCUGUGAGGACAUCUGCUCAGCAACUGCCUGUUCAACCUUUGACUGACAGGAAACUUGCUACUGAUUCUUGUGGGCAAGGAUAAUCUCAAAACAAUUAUAUAAUCCUCCUCGUUUUUCCUCUAAAACGUUUGUCUUUCUUUACCUCCCUGAAAUGCACAUAGUUUACUAUGGCACCUGCCAUCCAAUUGCAGUGCCUAUUCUCAGGUAAAUAACAUUUUCUUUUAGAAAUAACAUUUCUAAAAUGUUACAGUGACAAUAUUUACAAUGACAAAUUUGUUCUUUUCAAUCAGUUUCAGCAUCCAAUUGAUUCUAUAUGUUUUUAUAGUUAAAAUAUAUAACAAAAUGUAAAUUUCUACUUAUAAAUAAAUGCAAAUGAUUUCAUUCUAAAUAAUUUCCACUUACAAGUAAAUGCAAAUGAUUUCAUUCUAAAUGAUUUGCUUUAUCUAGCUAUGUAAACAAUUGUGAAAGCUCAGAAAUAAUAUAGCAUUAAUUUUUCACUUAAAAUGUAUAAAAUUUGUUAGACAUAAAGCUCAGAGAAAAUGGACUUCAGACAUAAGAGCAUUCAAAAUUAGUUAUUAUAUAACUUACAAGAAAAUUUUUAAACAUUCUAAUUUUUAUUAUUGGUCUUAUAUUAUUUAACUUAGUAAUUGGCCUAAGUUGGUCUUAAUUUAAGUGUGUGGGACAUGUGUUAUGAUUAAGGAUCCACUUUUACAUUUUUAUAUUAGCAGAUAUGCACAGUUUUGAGUUGAAACAUUUGUGUAUUUACAAAAAAAUUAAAAUACAUGCUCAGAAGUUACAUCAUUUUGUCACUCACACCCUACGCUUCUGAGCAUAUAACUAUUCAAUAGUUAUAUCUGUGCUGAAUUCUGUGUUGGGUGACCUGAUAGGAGUCUUCAUAGAGAAUUUAAUGUCCAUCUUGGGCUCUCCACUUUACUGUCAGGUAUUAGAAGUCAAAGUUCCUCCAGUGUUAGGUGAUAUAUUAUUUGUUAUUGACUGAAUUACAGCCUUAAUAUGUAUUAAAGAGGAACAGCUUAGAAGACUACCCUCUACUCUUCUCAUUUGAUAAUGUUUUUAACUUUUAUCUCAUUACCAUGUAGGGUCUGUAUAAUGGUCUGUAUAAUUCUGACAUUCAACUGGGGAAGUUAAGGUUUACUUGUUCAAGUUAAAGUAACACAUUGUCUCAUAGAGCUUGGAAAGAUAAACUAUAAAUACAUAAAUAAAUACACAUAAUUUGUUAUACACACAUUUUAUGUAAGUAUAGAGAGAGAAUUUUUUCACCUAAAUUCAUAUAUUUUCUUCUAAAUCGCCAUUUAAUUUGACAACUUCUCCCAGUGUGUCUGACCAAAGAAGUUAUUUUGGAGAACAUUGGGUUAAAUGAUUAUGUGUGCUAUUUUAUCAUUCCAACAGCUUUUACUUCAAUUCUAUUAUUGUUCCUAAAUUGCUGAUGAGAAAACUAAACCUUACAUCGGUAAAGUAACUUGCAGGGGGUACAGAGAUACAUUCAUGCACUAGCUCUAUCUUUCUUUUUCACUAACUUCACACUUUAUGCAUUAUGAAAUAUUUUAAAACACGAAAAUGAUCUAUUAGCCCCACUCAUACAUUUAUGCUAAAGUUAUAAUAAACUUAAUCUGUCCCUUUUUAUCAUCACCUUUUGCACGAUAGUUUCACACUGAGAAAUUUAAAGGAAAAUGUGUUUUAAUUAGUUUAACAUGUGGGUUUAUUUUGCCACUUAUCCUUGCAUAUUGUGAGUGAGAGAACAUAGUAACUAUUAAACCACUCCUAUGAAUACAAGGUGCUUAAGAAAGGAAAAGUUUAAUCCCAAUUCUUAUAUACAUGUAGGAUAACCACAUAUCUUCAAAAUGUUGUUUACUUCAAACAUCUGACACCACUAAGCCUGACAAAUGAAACGCUGCAAAGAGCUUCUCAAUUGUCGUAAAUUAAAACACAAUACAACAAGGUAUAUAAAGUAAUCAUGGGGUCAAUAAAAUGUUACCAUUUUAAGUUCCAGAAGCCCAGAACAUAAAUUCUAGGUUUUCAGAAGACAGGUGUUUUUUUUUAAACAAAACAUGUUACAUGCUCUGGUCUCCAGUGGAUGACUUCACUAAAAAUUAUGAAAGAAAAAGAAAUGCUUGAGAGAUUUGAAUACAGAGUUGUUUGAAAAUUAUCCAAUAAAUAAUUGAAAAAGUUCCAGCAACCAAAGAGGUGGAUUAUAAUUAAAUUAAUUAACAAAUUAAUCUAUUAAAUAAGUAAAUAUAUUUAACUAGAGAGAAAUUUUGAAGGACAUAUCAAAUUUCAUAGUAGAUAACAAUUUAUCUAAUCUAAUCAAAAUACUGGUGUUACAGAAUUAAAAUUGUAUUGGAGAAGUUAUUUUAAGAACAGUAAUAAAGAACUUAAUGAAAAUAAAAUUCCAUAGCUUAAUUGAAAUUGUUUCUAUGAACUAGUUUUUGACCUAUUAUGUUCAUUUUAGUGCUUUGAUUGAGUUAGAAUUACUGGAUUAAUUUCUUCCUAGAAAACAGGUUUAAUGAAAGAAUAUAAAGUAUGUAAAUAGAAAUAGCAUAUAUCUUUAAUAUCUAUGUAGAAAACAUUAUCCUUGAUUUUUUAGAAAAUGAUUAACUCACAAUUAAAUCCUACAG
rnacentral:lncRNA from 1 species